rnacentral:rRNA from 1 species
UACGUAGGGGGCGAGCGUUGUCCGAAGUUACUGGGCGUAAAGCGCGCGUAGGCGGGGGGUUAAGUGAGAGGUGAAAGGCUGGGGCUCAACCCCAUGCAGUGCCUCUCAUACUGGCCUUCUUGAGGGCGGUAGGGAGAAGUGGAAUGGCUGGUGUAGCGGUGAAAUGCGUAGAUAUCAGUCGGAACACCGGUGGCGAAGGCGGCUUCUUGGGCCGUUCCUGACGCUGAGGCGCGAAAGCUGGGGGAGCGAACAGG